rnacentral:rRNA from 1 species
GACGAACGCUGGCGGCGUGCUUAACACAUGCAAGUCGAACGAAAAGAGGGAAAGAGCUUGCUCUUUCCGGAAUUGAGUGGCAAACGGGUGAGUAACACGUAAACAACCUGCCUUCAGGAUGGGGACAACAGACGGAAACGACUGCUAAUACCGAAUAAGUUCCAAGGGCCGCAUGGCCCAUGGAAGAAAAGGUGGCCUCUACCUGUAAGCUAUCGCCUGAAGAGGGGUUUGCGUCUGAUUAGCUGGUUGGAGGGGUAACGGCCCACCAAGGCGACGAUCAGUAGCCGGUCUGAGAGGAUGAACGGCCACACUGGAAUUGAGACACGGUCCAGACUCCUACGGGAGGCAGCAGUGGGGAAUCUUCCGCAAUGGGCGAAAGCCUGACGGAGCAACGCCGCGUGAGUGAUGACGGCCUUCGGGUUGUAAAACUCUGUGAUCCGGGACGAAAAGGCAGAGUGCGAAGAACAAACUGCAUUGACGGUACCGGAAAAGCAAGCCACGGCUAACUACGUA